rnacentral:misc_RNA from 1 species
GAAAAUCCUACGUGAAAGAUGAGUCUGCAUAAGUGAAUGGGCUAAGUAAGUACAAAGCAAUGGUAUCAUAUAUACUUGAACAAUUACAACAUGAAAAACAACCCAACCUACAAGAUUACAAUCAAAGAUUAUAACAAAUAUAGCAACUCUAACAAACAUAGCAACUUAUUCUUUCUCUUUGCUUCUUUCUGAGAUUUUAUCUUCCUCUUCCUCAACUUCUACAAAAUCUUCUAAAGAUUUGUUCAAUUGGAUCAUCUCUUGUAUAUCUUCGUCGUAUACAACGCGUAUUCCACACUUCUUGAUUUUCUCUUUGGGCUCAAAAUUAAGUAACAGCUCAGUCGGACAGUAGUCACUAGUUGGAUCGAGCAGUUGAUUCACUUGGAAGAAGAAGCUACGAUGAUCCGACGUAACUUGGGAAGUUCCAGGGACAGGAACAUGGUUGCUCCAACACUCAGCUGGCCCACUUUUUCUACCGACUGCAAUGGACCAAGUAAUAUUUUCACCAACAUUUCUCUCCCCAACAACAGCACAAACUGCAAAACCUGCAAUAUUCCACCACUCAUCAUUUGCAGGUAGUUCUAUUCUCAACUGACUCUCCUCUCCCUGAUACGUGAACCAGUCAGGAAUUCCACUUCCGGGUAAGCAUAUAUAGAACUCAGGGAGCUCCAAAAAUGAAAUGAAAGGUCUCUGAUGGCAAAUUCCACUCCCUGGUAAGCAUAAAUAGAAGUCAGGGAGCUCCAAAAAUGGAAGGAUGCGUCUCUGAGGGAAAGGUUUUUCAAAAUCUUCCACACUGCAAUUUUCUUCUAACUUCAUUAGCUGCCGAACUUCAUGUAACCAAAGCAGGUAAUAUCUGAGCCAUGUAAAUGGCACGCUAAUUUUACCUUGAAAGUAAUUCAAUUUGGAAAAAUUUGAGAAACCUAUAUAAAAACCCUUCCCCACAUUUCGUGUUUCAAAUAGAUUUGUUAGUGUUGCAAGUGCAGUGCAAUUUUCCAUAUCUAGAAAGUUAACACUGGUAGGAAGAUCCGGCAAUGACUGAAGGCUCUUGCAAUUAGCACACUGAAGUUUUUGCAAUCUAUGAAGUUGAACCAGAUCUGGAAGAAUUUGCAAUGAAGUGCAAUUUUUCAUAUCUAGAUGUUCAAUAUUAGAUGGAAGAGCAGGCAAAGACUUGAGUCUUGUGCAAUUAGAAAAAUCAACAUCUACGAGGUUAGAAAGUUGGCUGAUGCUUGAAGGUACACUCAAAAGAUGAUUUCCACUUAAAUUUAGUUUUACCAAUGACUGUAAGCAGCUCAGAUCAUUGGGAACUUCUGGUAGGUUGCAGGAACUCAAAUCCAGUUUCCUCAGAGCUCGUAGACUUGAGAAAGCCAAAGUCAGGGGAUUUUGGUUCCUCUUAGGAUGCAGUAGGAAAUUACUCAGAAGAUCCCAUGGUUUAGCCAAUGUCAUUUGUCUGGAACCAACUCCAGCUGCAUCAAGCUCCUCCAAACUCGUCAUACCUGCCAACCCCUCAGGCAGUUUGCUAAGCUUUGAGCAGCCAUGCAAAUUAAGAAUCUUGAGGGAUUUCAAAUUCCAUAUGUCAUUUGGAAGAGUCACCAGGUUUUUGCAGUCUUUCAGGUUCAAUGAGAACAACCUUCUCAAUACACCAAUGCUUUGGUGCACAUCAACUAGGCUUGUACACCCUUGAAGAUUCAACACUUCAAGGUUUGGGACAUCUCUAAAGUCCGGGGUCUUGAUUAAAUCUUUAGAGUAACUAAGAUCAAUGAUCUUCAGCAGCUGUAAAGGCUGUCAAAAGACACAGCGUUAGACUCAACUAUGAAAGAAAAAAACUAGUUGAUGUUUAUAUAUGCUUACUUUUAUUGCCUUCCAUAGUUGUUUCAAAUUGCUGUGUUGCAUGUUGAGCUCAACAAGUUUAUUUGGUUGAAAAGUUGAUGGAAAGAAUUUGAAAGGAUAUUCAUGCCAUUCUAGAUAUCUUAAUUCAUUUGAAAGAUAUUCAAUGUCAUAAAAAAAGC